rnacentral:rRNA from 1 species
UACGAAGGGGGCUAGCGUUGCUCGGAAUUACCGGGCGUAAAGGGCGCGUAGGCGGGUCGUUUAGUUAGAGGUGAAAGCCCAGGGCUCAACCCUGGAAUUGCCUUUAAUACUGGCGGCCUUGAGUAUGGCAGAGGUGUGUGGAACUCCGAGUGUAGAGGUGAAAUUCGUAGAUAUUCGGAAGAACACCAGUGGCGAAGGCGACACACUGGGCCAUUACUGACGCUGAGGCGCGAAAGCGUGGGGAGCAAACAGG